CAAGAUCAAGGACGUACAUCUUCUGAAAAAGAAACAUCGAAGAACGUUUGAUUCCUAAUAUGAAAAGAGGUAAUCUAAAUGAGAAACGGAUGUACUGACAUUAUUCGUCUCUGCAGUUUGCAAAAAAUUAUUGAGCUGUGCUACAGAGACCUUUUGAGGGUCAGGAGCUCAAUGUGACAAAAGUCACCAUGUCCUAAAGAACUGGUUUUUCAGGGGGUGAGAAACAGUGAGGAGCAAGCAAAUCUGCGAUGAGCCCCCUGAAUUCAACCUCCUUCAUUAACGCCACUAUUGUUCAUCCUGAGUUCUUUUUCAUAAGUGGUUUUGCCGGUAUUUCCCAUGCAAACUACUACUAUGUCUUCUUGUGCUUUGUUUAUGCUCUGAGUCUACUAGGUAAUGCCUUUGUCAUGUUUGUGAUUUACACUGACCACCGUCUCCACAGUCCAAAAUACAUUGUCGUUUUUAAUUUGGCUGUGUCUGACUUGUGUGGAAGCACCGCACUUGUUCCUCAGAUGAUUGACACCUUGCUGUUUAAAUCACAUUUAAUCUCCUACGA